ensembl:lncRNA
AAAGCAGGUGUCUGAGGGUCUGGUUUGGAGUCAGCCGGAGUCUCUUGCUGACUGAGACUGUCCCAUUAGGGAUGCUGUUAGGUUUGGGCAAACCCUGAACGGCAACACAGACUCGGCCCAGUGUCCGCAUGUCCACGGUCGCCUCAGCUUCGUUCACAGCAGCCGCGGCCGCAGGCCCAGGUGUCCGUGAGGGGUGGGCCAGUGCAGACGCAGGGUGUUCACACACGCACGACGGGACACUACUCGGCGGGGAAGGAGAACGUGCAGCCGUUAGGGCCUCAGAUUCACACGUGUAAAUUACAGAAAAACAAAAUUCUGCCAGAAAAUUGUAUGGAAACUGUUCUCAAGUAUUUCCGCACAGCUGAGCAGAGGGAAAGAAGGCCCAGGAGGCACCCAGGUCGAUCACACCUGGUGUUAAAAAUCCUGAGGAACCCUGGCUGAUGACACAGCAGGAGACAGGUCAGAGCUGAAGGAUUCUCAUGUUGGCAGGAGGGAUGUGCCGUGAAGAGAGCCAUACAGAGAGAAGAGCUCCAGAGUCUGCUGUUGGGUCUCCCGGAGCAUCUGCUCACAGGAGUGUAC